rnacentral:rRNA from 1 species
AACGAACGCUGGCGGCAGGCUUAACACAUGCAAGUCGAACGCACCUUUCGGGGUGAGUGGCAGACGGGUGAGUAACGCGUGGGAAUCUACCCUUCUCUACGGGAUAGCUCCGGGAAACUGGAAUUAAUACCGUAUACGUCCUGAGGGAGAAAGAUUUAUCGGGGAAGGAUGAGCCCGCGUUGGAUUAGCUAGUUGGUGGGGUAAAGGCCUACCAAGGCGACGAUCCAUAGCUGGUCUAAGAGGAUGAUCAGCCACAUUGGGACUGAGACACGGCCCAAACUCCUACGGGAGGCAGCAGUGGGGAAUAUUGGACAAUGGGCGCAAGCCUGAUCCAGCCAUGCCGCGUGAGUGAUGAAGGCCCUAGGGUUGUAAAGCUCUUUCAGUGGGGACGAUAAUGACGGUACCAACAGAAGAAGCCCCGGCUAACUUCGUG